UUCAGUUUAAACGCCCGCCCGCCAAUGCCGAGUCCGGCCACUGACUUCCGUGUUGCUUCCUGGCGCUUUGGGAGUCUCCUGGAGUAGCGUGGUUGAGCAUGAGCUGCCGCUGGGCCUUUUUCACAAAACGAGCGUACCAGAGAAAUGGAAGAUAACGCUGAAGCGCUUGAAAGGUCCAUGCAACAAGACAGGAUUAUGCUUCACCCAUGCUGUGGUGUCAGAACGGUGCCCCGUGACUGUCUUUGUGGUAGGAGCAGGAUGUGGACAGGAGGAGCUGGCAACUCAGGUACAGAUGCUCUGAGACUUGGACCCACUUCAAGACUCCCUGCAGCUGGUGAGGUGACGGAGGUGGACGGUAUUUCAUGGGACCCCUCCAACCCCAGCCACCGUAGUAGCACCCUGACCCUUCAUUGCUUCCUCCACGGAGCUCCCUCUUGCAUGGAAAAAGCUACUAUGAGUGAGAAUGAAGUAAUCGGAGAACAAACCCAAACACGCCAAGUGUGAGCCGCACUGGUGUGCACACCCCCACCAUUAAAUACAUGCCGUGCACCACAUGGAAUAUCUUCUAACGCCACCUCAGGAAUAAACCUGUUAGACGAAUCCAGCUCAUCGUCCCGUUAUGAUGGCUCUCGAUGCACAAAUCUUUCGGGGGGCGACCAGGUGGAGAAGUAGGCACUGUGCAUCUCAGCACGGAGCAUUGAUCCGCUCUCCCCAAUCGGUUUCCUCGUGGGUUUAUCGUAACGCGAGGAAACCCACAUCUGAUAGCACUGCUGUGCUGUAGGAUAUUUCAUACCACAGGGUUGCAAAAGGCCCCUCAGCAGAUUGCUUGCAUUUGAGGCAGGGAUUAGUCUGGGGUGCAGCAUUGCCCAGAUGCCUAGCACCAGAGGUUUGAAAUCUAUAAAGGCCACGUUGGGCAGGGGCGCAGCGAUUCACUUGGGCUAGUUUAGUGAUGGGGGAUUGUUUGCCCUGCAGCUUGCAGACAUAACCUGGGGUUGUACUUUUAUUUCAUUGGCUUCUAGUAGGAUUUGCAGGCAGUGCUGAGACUGUCCAGCUUUUGCCAAGGUGCGUCUGUUCAGGAGUGGUGCUGACGGUCUCCGGAGGGGUUACCCCCUUCUCGGUAGGCGCCUUCGGCUAGGAUUUUGGUCAGAUGCCAUCAGUGGCAUCUGGAGAAGGGGUAACUUUGUAGCCAGCUGUAUACAAGGAUACGAUUAGCGGUAUCACUUCUUCAUCUUGGUGUUAUCUCAUCUCUAGACCAUUUCCUUGAAUUAUUUAAAAUGGCCUUGGCAUUGUAAACAGCUAUUGUCUACGAGUCUAAUGCAAUGCAUAAGCAGUGUUUGGUCUUUUGAGAUUAAGCCCGCGUAAUACUUGGCAUUUUCCUUCGGUCUCUGCAAUGCUUGUACAAACAGCUGGAAGGAACCUCAAAUGAUCUAGUCCUCUCCCUUCCUCCAGGCAGGGUCAUCCCUCCCCAAAUCAUCCCAAGCAAAUGUACGUGUGUCCAACCUGCACGUAAAGGCUUGCAAUGUGAACGUUUUGCAACCUAAGCAAGCUGUUCCUGUCCCCUCUGGACACAGAAUAG